GAGGGGAAUCUCCAAAUGGCAGCAAGCACGUACUAUAGAGUAAGCAGCAGGGCCAGUAAUUGGGGUUUAUUCGCCAAUUCUCUUAUUAUUUCUCCUUUAUAUCCUACUUCUAUUUCCACUCUCAUUUCUCCUGUUAGACUCCCACCUCCGUUGCCUUUCUCUCAUAGUAAAAGAUUUUUUACCAUUAAAGCAAUGGAUGCUUCAAAAGCUGUUUCAUCAAGGGAGUCCCCACUGGGAAUAGAUGCAAGUACUGAGGAAGAGUAUGCUUCUCAGUCUAAGUUGCUUCAAGAGUUCACUAGUAUUUCCAGAAUUGACAAGGCAUGGACUUUUAACUCUAACACCGAUAUGUGCUCCCAGGCGAUCUUCUCAAUUAGCCAGGCGAAUCUUUUGGUUAAUAAAAGGAGGAAAUUCAUGCUAUCCGCUAGCAUUUCCAAACAAGUUAGUGGUUCUGUAAAUUUUCAGUGGGCCCCAUUUCCCAUUGAGAUGACAGGUGUAUCUACAAUGGUUCCAUCACCAUCAGGUUCCAAGCUUCUUGUGAUUAGGAAUCCUGAAAAUGAAUCUCCCACUCAUUUUGAAAUCUGGAGCCAGGGUCAGAUGGAAAAGGAAUUCCACGUCCCCCAAUCCGUUCAUGGUUCAGUAUAUACUGAUGGAUGGUUCGAAGGAAUAUCUUGGAACUCUGAUGAAACUCUCGUUGCUUUUGUUGCUGAAGAACCAUCUCCUCCGAAACCUGUGUUCAGUGGUCUAGGCUACAAAACAGGUGAAGCUAACAAAGAUAAGGACUAUAACAGCUGGAAAGGUCAAGGGGAAUGGGAGGAAGGUUGGGGAGAGACAUAUGCAGGGAAAAGGCAGUCUGCGCUCUUUGUCAUUAGCACUAGCAGUGGAGAGGUAAAACCUGUUAAAGGAAUUGCAAAGUCCCUGAGCGUUGGACAAGUUGUUUGGGCUCCAUCAACCAAAGACUCGUAUCAGUGUUUAGUUUUUGUAGGUUGGUCUGCAGAUCCAAGAAAGCUUGGCAUAAAAUACUGCUACAAUAGGCCCUGUGCAUUGUAUGCAGUUCAGGCACCAGUUUAUAGAUCAGAGUCCGAGUUUGAACUCAAAGAUAAUCCUAUUGAAGGUUCACCUGCGCUUAACCUAACUCAAAGUAUAAGCAGUGCCUUCCUUCCAUUGUUUAGCCCAGUUGGAAGACUCCUUGUGUUUUUGUCUGCAAAAAGUUCUGUAGAUUCUGGGGCUCAUAUGGGAACAGGUUCACUUCACAGAAUUGAUUGGCCAGUUAAUGGAAGCUCACUCCCAAAAAUUGUUGAUGUGGUUCCUGUUGUGCAGUGUGCAGAGGAUGGUUGUUUCCCUGGGCUUUAUUGUUCAGGGUUUCUUAGUAAUCCAUGGCUUUCUGAUGGAUGUACUAUGAUUUUAUCUUCAGUAUGGCACAGCUGCGAAGUUUUACUUUCUAUCAAUGUGUUAAGUGGGGAUGUAAAGCGCAUUAGUCCUAUAGACUCGAAAUUUUCAUGGAAUGUUCUUGCUCUGGACGGGGACAACAUUAUUGCUGUAUCCAGCAGUCCAGUAGACAUGCCUGGGAUCAGGUAUGGGUCUCUUGUUUCGAAAACAACUGAAAAUGCCACAUGGAAUUGGUUAGAUGCAUCAAGCCCAAUAUUCAGAUGUUCUGAGGAGGUUAGAUCCUUGCUCUCAUCUCGUCACUUUGAUAUAUUGAAGAUUCCAGUCAAGGAUGUUUCUGGUUGCCCAACAAAAAGUGCUAGCAAACCGUUUGAAGCUAUAAUUGUGUCUUCCUAUUCUAAGAAGAAUGGUGCUUCUGACCCACUAAUAGUAAUGCUUCAUGGAGGCCCGCAUUCUGUUUCAUCGUCAAGUUUCUCAAAGUCUUUGGCAUUUCUCUCUUCACUAGGUUAUAGCUUGUUGAUCGUAAAUUACAGAGGUUCCAUAGGAUUUGGUGAAGAAGCAUUGCAAUCUCUUCCAGGGAAAGUGGGGUCCCAGGAUGUCAAUGAUGUGCUUACAGCUAUAGAUCAUGUUAUUGAUACGGGUAUUGCUAGCCCCUCUAGCAUUGCUGUUCUUGGUGGUUCCCAUGGUGGCUUUCUCACAACGCACUUAAUUGGCCAGUCGCCUCAUAAGUUUGUUGCGGCAGCUGCGAGAAAUCCUGUAUGUAACCUAGCAUCAAUGGUUGGUACAACAGACAUCCCUGAUUGGUGCUAUGUGGAAGCUUAUGGGACUGGGGGGAAAAGUAAAUUUACGGAAGCACCUUCAGCAGAUGACCUGGCUCUCUUUCAUAGCAAGUCCCCUAUAUCACACAUCUCAAAGUUAACAUGUAUCGUUUGGGUGUUUGCCGUAUGUGAAACUGAAGUAGCUGUAACAAAGGCCGAGAGGAAAGGAACCCGAACCCUAAAAUAUGCACCUUGUUUUCUUUUGAAGAAUGAUACUUGUCAAAGCACCAACAAUCUUUCUCAUAGGUGCGCAGGAUCUUCGUGUUCCAAUGUCUAAUGGCUUGCAAUAUGCACGGGCAUUGAAAGAGAAAGGAGUAGAGGUCAAAAUCCUCUUGUUUCCUGAUGAUGUUCAUGGAAUUGAGAGGCCGCAAUCCGAUUUUGAGAGCUUCCUUAAUAUUGGGGUGUGGUUCAAGAAAUACUGCAAAUGAGCCACAAUUCAGACUGGGCCAUGCUUGGAGAGUCAAAAAAAUUAUUAAUCAUGAGAAAGAUCUUGAGGAUCAAAUAUGUUUGUAAACUAUUUUCUUACCUUUAUCCUGAUCAAGUUUGUUACUUACGCCCAUAUUCUAUGGAACAUGAUCACGGUUGAGAUUAAUAACAAGUGAUUUGUAAUUUCCAGUUA